rnacentral:rRNA from 1 species
AGUUGGUGGAGUGAUUUGUCUGCUUAAUUGCGAUAACGAACGAGACCUUAACCUACUAACUAGUACCAUUGAAACCUAGUUUCAUGGGAACUUCUUAGAGGGACAAUACGAGUCAAUCGUAUGGAAGUUUGAGGCAAUAACAGGU